rnacentral:lncRNA from 1 species
GAUUGGAUCUCCCACCAGAACACCAGCCUUCACCUUGAGAACUGCACAUUCCUCCGAAAACGAUUCCCAGCGUGGGAUGGUGAGAUAGCACUCAGGCCCAGUUCUGCAGGUAAAGAUGACAAGGCCUCGCCUUCAACCUCUUCACACACUUCCCAGCAUCGUCAGAAAGCCAGUUCCCGCUCGAUCAGCCCCCGACGCCACCAUGGCCCAGACAGUAGAAGGGAGAAUCGCAGCAGUCCAUCACAUUCCCCACAGAGCUCCAGAUUCAGUCGCAGGUCCCGAUCUCGUUCUUCAUCCCCAUGGUAUGAUCGCCCUACCUCCUCCCGCUUUCGAUCACGUUCAAGGAGCAGUGAGAGACGAUCGUCGCCGAGGAGAGACAAGAAAUUGUCCUCACUAAGGACCAGAGAUGACAGACGACCAUCUUCAAGGAGGACCCAUGAGAGGCUGUGGUUACCAAGGACGAGUAAUCAAAGACGAUUAGUCAAACGAAAGAAGUCGAGGAAUGCAGAAAACCUGGCUAAGAAACUAAUGGAAACACCAGGUUUGAGAAAUUGCAAACAUUUUAAAGACUUAAGACCAUGUUUAUAGACUUAUUUUGUGUCAAGUGCCUUUAAAGCACACGUACUAGCAAACCUCAC